rnacentral:rRNA from 1 species
GACGAACGCUGGCGGCGUGCCUAAUACAUGCAAGUUGAGCGCUGAAGGUUGGUACUUGUACCGACUGGAUGAGCAGCGAACGGGUGAGUAACGCGUGGGGAAUCUGCCUUUGAGCGGGGGACAACAUUUGGAAACGAAUGCUAAUACCGCAUAAAAACUAUAAACACAAGUUUUAAGUUUGAAAGAUGCAAUUGCAUCACUCAAAGAUGAUCCCGCGUUGUAUUAGCUAGUUGGUGAGGUAAAGGCUCACCAAGGCGAUGAUACAUAGCCGACCUGAGAGGGUGAUCGGCCACAUUGGGACUGAGACACGGCCCAAACUCCUACGGGAGGCAGCAGUAGGGAAUCUUCGGCAAUGGACGAAAGUCUGACCGAGCAACGCCGCGUGAGUGAAGAAGGUUUUCGGAUCGUAAAACUCUGUUGGUAGAGAAGAACGUUGGUGAGAGUGGAAAGCUCAUCAAGUGACGGUAACUACCCAGAAAGGGACGGCUAACUACGUG